GUUCUUCCUUGUGUCUGCCACCCAAGAGAAGGCCUUGCAGCAGUUUUGCUUUGAGUUCUGGUGCAGAGUGCAGUCCUGCUUGCUGUGCAGCUCCACCGUGUGCACUGAGGUUGGCAACAAGAAGUGCAGUGAAGACAGCUGCUUCAGGAUUCUGACAAAUUUUGCUGUAGCUCUUGCAAUAACUUCAGUGAAAUAUAAAAUGUGUAGGCCCUUAAUUUAUUUAAUAAGGAAUAUAGUAUUAGAUAACUCUGAAAUUUGCCAAAUCUAUAUAACAAACUUCUAAAAGAGCAUUAGUAAAAAGUGCUUGUAUAGCCCCUUUUUGGCUUUAGCUGUGACUGGAGAGAAAUAUAAUCAAUACAAGAUGCUGGAGGUUAAAAAGAUCAGGGAGAACUGAGACGUUCUAGAAGUAAAGGUUAAUAACUCGACUGGCAGCAAAGAAAAUAAUGAAAUCUGUCUACCAUACUGUGGUGAGCUGACCUUGGAUUGCAGCCAGAUGCAGACCCAGCUGCUCACUUCCCCUUCCCUAACAGGACAGGGGAAGAAAAUGGGAUGAAAAAACUUGCAGAUCGAGAUAAAGACAGAUCACUUGCCAGUUACUGUCAUGGGCCAAACAGACUUGAGUUUAGGAAAGUGAAUUUAACUAAUUGCCAGUUAAAACAGAUUCGGAUGGGGAAAAAGCCAAAAAUUAACCACCGCCUUCCCCUGCUGUCCCUUUCUGCCGGGCUCUGUUUCACUCCUUCCCCCGGGCCCCUCCACCUUGCCCCUCCGCUCCCAGCCUCACGGCGGUGCACGGGCGAGGGGGGUUCCAGUCAGCGCUUCCUCACGCGGUGUUGCGGUGUGAGCUCCUCUCCGCAGGCCGCUGUUCCUCUCAGGCAGUAUUUACUGCUCCCAGCCGUGGUUCAGAGAGUUUAGUGAUGGUCUUUUUCAAACUCUUCUGCUGGUCACAAGGACCCUUUGGCUGCGUCUGUGAUAGCUGCCUCAGAAGAAAAAAAUGCUGUGCAAAGCUGCCACAUGAGGAAGAGACCCCGUGGAAGUUGCUCCCCACCCAGGAGAACAGAUUGAAUUCGUCAUAGACCAGAGCUUUAUGCCUGUUUUAUUUAACUGCAAUCCAGUUUAAUGGAGCUGGAGCAACUGCACUGGGCCCGGCCCACGCCCCAGGAUGGACCUGAGCCCCCUGCAAAGGUAUCCCAUAGCGACCCAGAGCAACCCAUGGACACCUCAUAGAGCCUCAUAGACCACAGUAGAUCCCCUAUAGACCCGCUCAGCGUCAUAGCCUCCCUGUAGACAUCCCAUAGGGUCCCAGAGCGACCCAUAGACACCCCAGAGCAACUCUUAGUGACCCAUGGAUGCACCAUAGUUACCUACAGACACCCAUAAACAUCACGUAGUGACCCAUAGACACCUCAGAGCGACCAGAGCAACCCACAGACAGUCCACAGCCAUCCACAGCACACCAUGGACAUCCUGUAGACAUCCCACAGAGACCCACAGUGACUGGUAGAUACGCUGUAGUGACUCAUGGGCACCACAUGGAGACACAUAGAUCCCCAUAAUGACCCACUGCAGCCUACAGAUACUCCAUAGAUACCCUAUAGUGACCCAUAGAGACCCAUGGACACCGAUAGAGACCCAAAGCAAUGCCUAGAUACCCUAUACACCCACACAUGGCCCCAUGACAACUCAUAGAGCCCCAUAGACACCCUCCACUGCCACAUAGCACCCCAUAGACACCCCCCUCACACUGCCCCAUAGUUCCCUGUAGACGCACAACACACACCCCGCGGCUUUUAUUGACUUACGGUGUCGUGACAUCACCAGGACUGCGAUGACAGCAGCAGCAGCAUCAACCACCACGGUGCCGCAUAGGGCCCCCGUUACCCCGUCGCGCCCCAUAAGUAUCCCAGGACCAAUCGAUUUUUUUAUUGACUUUCAUUCAUUUUUAUGAACUUGCAUUCACUUUUAUUCGAGAUGCAUUCAGGCUUGUUCCCUUUUAUUCCUUUUUAUUUGCUUUGUAAUAAUUUGUAAUCACAUUA